CAGGCUUAACACAUGCAAGUCGAGGGGAAACGACAUCGAAAGCUUGCUUUUGAUGGGCGUCGACCGGCGCACGGGUGAGUAACGCGUAUCCAACCUGCCCACCACUUGGGGAUAACCUUGCGAAAGUAAGACUAAUACCCAAUGACGUCUCUAGAAGACAUCUGAAAGAGAUUAAAGAUUUAUCGGUGAUGGAUGGGGAUGCGUCUGAUUAGCUUGUUGGCGGGGUAACGGCCCACCAAGGCGACGAUCAGUAGGGGUUCUGAGAGGAAGGUCCCCCACAUUGGAACUGAGACACGGUCCAAACUCCUACGGGAGGCAGCAGUGAGGAAUAUUGGUCAAUGGACGAGAGUCUGAACCAGCCAAGUAGCGUGCAGGAUGACGGCCCUAUGGGUUGUAAACUGCUUUUAUAAGGGAAUAAAGUGAGUCUCGUGAGACUUUUUGCAUGUACCUUAUGAAUAAGGACCGGCUAAUUCCGUGCCAGCAGCCGCGGUAAUACGGAAGGUCCGGGCGUUAUCCGGAUUUAUUGGGUUUAAAGGGAGCGUAGGCCGGAGAUUAAGCGUGUUGUGAAAUGUAGACGCUCAACGUCUGCACUGCAGCGCGAACUGGUUUCCUUGAGUACGCACAAAGUGGGCGGAAUUCGUGGUGUAGCGGUGAAAUGCUUAGAUAUCACGAAGAACUCCGAUUGCGAAGGCAGCUCACUGGAGCGCAACUGACGCUGAAGCUCGAAAGUGCGGGUAUCGAACAGGAUUAGAUACCCUGGUAGUCCGCACGGUAAACGAUGGAUGCCCGCUGUUGGUCUGAAUAGGUCAGCGGCCAAGCGAAAGCAUUAAGCAUCCCACCUGGGGAGUACGCCGGCAACGGUGAAACUCAAAGGAAUUGACGGGGGCCCGCACAAGCGGAGGAACAUGUGGUUUAAUUCGAUGAUACGCGAGGAACCUUACCCGGGCUUGAAUUGCAGAGGAAGGAUUUGGAGACAAUGACGCCCUUCGGGGCCUCUGUGAAGGUGCUGCAUGGUUGUCGUCAGCUCGUGCCGUGAGGUGUCGGCUUAAGUGCCAUAACGAGCGCAACCCCUCUCCUUAGUUGCCAUCAGGUCAAGCUGGGCACUCUGGGGACACUGCCACCGUAAGGUGUGAGGAAGGUGGGGAUG
rnacentral:rRNA from 1 species